rnacentral:rRNA from 1 species
GAUGAACGCUGGCGGCGUGCUUAACACAUGCAAGUCGAACGGAAAGGCCCAAGCUUGCUUGGGGACUCGAGUGGCGAACGGGUGAGUAACACACGGGUGAUCUGCCCUGCACUUCGGGAUAAGCCUGGGAAACUGGGUCUAUUACCGGAUAGGACCUCUUUUUGUAUGGUGUGGUGGAAAGUUUUUCGGUGUGGGAUGAGCUCGCGGCCUGUCAGGUUGUUGGUGGGGUAAUGGCCUACCAAGGCGUCGACGGGUAGCCGGCCUGAGAGGGUGUACGGCCACAUUGGGACAGAGAUACGGGCCAGACUCCUACGGGGGGCAGCAGUGGGGAAUAUUGCACAAUGGGCGCAAGCCUGAUGCAGCGACGCCGCGUGGGGGAUGACGGCCUUCGGGUUGUAAGCUCCUUUCGCUAGGGACGAAGCGUUUUUGUGACGGUACCUGGAGAAGAAGCACCGGCUAACUACGUG